UUGUCUAUUCUGUCUCUCACCUUCACUCAUCCAUCUUGGAUGCGUCUAUCUGGGGAGAAGAUGGGCGCCUGAUUUGCAGGACUACCCCCUUGUAUGGAAACGGACACGAAGCUGGAAAUGAGAAGGAUUACGUUGUCGGCAUCAAGAACUGCAUUGGCAAUCCUGGUGCUCCGGACUCCAUGAAGAUCAAGCAAGGCGAAAGGCUGAAGUACAUCGUCGUGUCGACCAAGGUUGGAGGUCCUCACACCGGAUUGAUGGGCUUGGCCGGAAUUCAGUUUGUCAGCGAUGGUGUGAAGUCUGCUAUCUAAGCAACAAACGCUUGCUGUAAACACUAUCGAUGCAUCGUUGUCGUCAUUUCUGAAGGCGUAAGUUAGAAACGGGUUUUUGUCUUCAGUGAUUCACUUUACAGCGAUGGUUUGACUCACACGAAUGAGACGUGAAGGUUUUGAGUCACUAGAGGUAGUGUUUCUGGCCAGACGAAACUAUUGCUUUGUGUGCGGUAAUGUUA
rnacentral:lncRNA from 1 species